AACGAACGCUGGCGGCAUGCCUAACACAUGCAAGUCGAACGAGACCUUCGGGUCUAGUGGCGCACGGGUGCGUAACGCGUGGGAACCUGCCCUUAGGUUCGGAAUAACUCCCCGAAAGGGGUGCUAAUACCGGAUAAUGUCUUCGGACCAAAGAUUUAUCGCCUUUGGAUGGGCCCGCGUUGGAUUAGCUAGUUGGUAGGGUAAAAGCCUACCAAGGCGACGAUCCAUAGCUGGUCUGAGAGGAUGAUCAGCCACACUGGGACUGAGACACGGCCCAGACUCCUACGGGAGGCAGCAGUGGGGAAUAUUGGACAAUGGGCGAAAGCCUGAUCCAGCAAUGCCGCGUGAGUGAUGAAGGCCUUAGGGCUGUAAAGCUCUUUUACCCGGGAUGAUAAUGACAGUACCGGGAGAAUAAGCUCCGGCUAACUCCG
rnacentral:rRNA from 1 species